GACGAACGCUGGCGGCGUGCCUAAUACAUGCAAGUCGAACGCUUUUUCUUUCACCGGAGCUUGCUCCACCGAAAGAAAAAGAGUGGCGAACGGGUGAGUAACACGUGGGUAACCUGCCCAUCAGAAGGGGAUAACACUUGGAAACAGGUGCUAAUACCGUAUAACACUAUUUUCCGCAUGGAAGAAAGUUGAAAGGCGCUUUUGCGUCACUGAUGGAUGGACCCGCGGUGCAUUAGCUAGUUGGUGAGGUAACGGCUCACCAAGGCAACGAUGCAUAGCCGACCUGAGAGGGUGGUCGGCCACACUGGGACUGAGACACGGCCCAGACUCCUACGGGAGGCAGCAGUAGGGAAUCUUCGGCAAUGGACGAAAGUCUGACCGAGCAACGCCGCGUGAGUGAAGAAGGUUUUCGGAUCGUAAAACUCUGUUGUUAGAGAAGAACAAGGAUGAGAGUAAAACGUUCAUCCCUUGAC
rnacentral:rRNA from 1 species